UACGUAGGGGGCAAGCGUUGUCCGGAUUUAUUGGGCGUAAAGAGCGUGUAGGCGGUUUGGUAGGUCCGUUGUGAAAACUCGAGGCUCAACCUCGAGCUGUCGGUGGAAACCGUGUGGCUAGAGUCCGGAAGAGGAGAGUGGAAUUCCCGGUGUAGCGGUGAAAUGCGCAGAUAUCGGGAAGAACACCCGUGGCGAAGGCGGCUCUCUGGGACGGUACUGACGCUGAGACGCGAAAAGCGUGGGGGAGCGAACAGGG
rnacentral:rRNA from 1 species